AACGAACGCUGGCGGCAGGCCUAACACAUGCAAGUCGAACGGGCACCUUCGGGUGUCAGUGGCAGACGGGUGAGUAACGCGUGGGAACGUGCCCAUCGGUUCGGGACAACUCCGGGAAACUGGAGCUAAUACCGGAUACGUGCGAGAGCAGAAAGAUUUAUCGCCGAUGGAGCGGCCCGCGUCUGAUUAGCUUGUUGGUGAGGUAAUGGCUCACCAAGGCGACGAUCAGUAGCUGGUCUGAGAGGAUGAUCAGCCACACUGGGACUGAGACACGGCCCAGACUCCUACGGGAGGCAGCAGUGGGGAAUAUUGGACAAUGGGCGCAAGCCUGAUCCAGCCAUGCCGCGUGAGUGAUGAAGGCCCUAGGGUUGUAAAGCUCUUUCGCACGCGACGAUAAUGACGGUAGCGUGAGAAGAAGCCCCGGCUAACUUCGUGCCAGCAGCCGCCGUAACAC
rnacentral:rRNA from 1 species